rnacentral:rRNA from 1 species
GAUGAACGCUGGCGGCGUGCCUAAUACAUGCAAGUCGAGCGAACAGACGAGGAGCUUGCUCCUCUGACGUUAGCGGCGGACGGGUGAGUAACACGUGGAUAACCUACCUAUAAGACUGGGAUAACUUCGGGAAACCGGAGCUAAUACCGGAUAAUAUAUUGAACCGCAUGGUUCAAUAGUGAAAGACGGUGUUGCUGUCACUUAUAGAUGGAUCCGCGCCGCAUUAGCUAGUUGGUAAGGUAACGGCUUACCAAGGCGACGAUGCGUAGCCGACCUGAGAGGGUGAUCGGCCACACGGGAACUGAAACACGGUCCAGACUCCUACGGGAGGCAGCAGUAGGGAAUCUUCCGCAAUGGGCGAAAGCCUGACGGAGCAACGCCGCGUGAGUGAUGAAGGUCUUCGGAUCGUAAAAAUCUGUUAUUAGGGAAGAACAAAUGUGUAAGUAACUAUGCACGUCUUGACGGUACCUAAUCAGAAAGCCACGGCUAACUACGUG